AUUGAACGCUGGCGGCAUGCCUUACACAUGCAAGUCGAACGGCAGCACGGGAGCAAUCCUGGUGGCGAGUGGCGAACGGGUGAGUAAUAUAUCGGAACGUGCCCGGUCGUGGGGAUAACGUAGCGAAAGCUACGCUAAUACCGCAUACGAUCUACGGAUGAAAGGCGGGGGGAUCGCAAGACCUCGCGCGAUUGGAGCGGCCGAUAUCAGAUUAGGUAGUUGGUGAGGUAAAGGCUCACCAAGCCGACGAUCUGUAGCUGGUCUGAGAGGACGACCAGCCACACUGGGACUGAGACACGGCCC
rnacentral:rRNA from 1 species